GAUGAACGCUGGCGGCGUGCCUAAUACAUGCAAGUCGAGCGGACAGACGAGGAGCUUGCUCCUCUGACGUUAGCGGCGGACGGGUGAGUAACACGUGGAUAACCUACCUAUAAGACUGGGAUAACUUCGGGAAACCGGAGCUAAUACCGGAUAAUAUAUUGAACCGCAUGGUUCAAUAGUGAAAGACGGUUUUGCUGUCACUUAUAGAUGGAUCCGCGCCGCAUUAGCUAGUUGGUAAGGUAACGGCUUACCAAGGCAACGAUGCGUAGCCGACCUGAGAGGGUGAUCGGCCACACUGGAACUGAGACACGGUCCAGACUCCUACGGGAGGCAGCAGUAGGGAAUCUUCCGCAAUGGGCGAAAGCCUGAGGAGCAACGCCGCGUGAGUGAUGAAGGUCUUCGGAUCGUAAAACUCUGUUAUUAGGGAAGAACAAAUGUGUAAGUAACUAUGCACGUCUUGACGGUACCUAAUCAGAAAGCCACGGCUAACUACGUG
rnacentral:rRNA from 1 species